rnacentral:rRNA from 1 species
AUGGACCAGCGGCUCUUGACAGCGGCCGCAUCCGGUGAUUCCACGUCAAUGAAGGAGAUGGCCUCGCAAGAUCCAAGCAUUCUUCUUGGAACAACUCUAGCUGGGAACAGCUGCCUUCACAUAUCCUCCAUCCAUGGGCACCAGGCAUUCUGUACGGAUGUGGUAGAACUGGAGGAGUCUCUCCUCGCCGCUUUAAACCUGGAAGGGGAGACACCACUUCUCACCGCAGUGACUAGUGGACACGUCUCCCUGGCUUCCGUUCUACUCCAAUGCUACCGUGCACAGGGAUUGAGCGAGUCAAUCUUGGAGCAAGACAUCGAUGGUUGUAACGCACUGCACCAUGCCAUUCGCAACGGCCACAGGGAGCUUGCCCUGGAGCUCAUAGAAGCAAAACCCGCCCUGUCGACACAUGUGAACAUUUGGAGCGAGUCACCCAUGUACAUUGCGGCGUUGAGGGAUUUUAUUGAUGUUUCAGAGAAAUUACUUGAAAUUCCCGAUUCUGCUCAUACAGGACCAUACGGCUACAACACUGUGCGGGCUGCCGUGAGAAAUGGAAACCCAGUUUUGGCUAAAAGAAUUAUGGAAACACGUCCUUGGCUGGCCAGAGAAGCUGACAACGAUGGGCAUACUCCACUAAGUGCAGCUGUAUGUUAUGACCAGAUUGGCGUGCUACGAGUAUUGCUGGAGCAUGAUUGCUCUUUAGGGUAUGAGUUGCCACGUGAUGGUUCCCCUCUCCUCAGUGAAGCUGCAAUUGGAGGUCAUAUCGCUGUUGCUCAAGAGCUUCUUAAACACUGUCCCGAUGCUACUUACCGUGCAACAAAAGGUCUGUGUUGGACAUCCCUUCAUACAGCUGUAUGGUAUGAUCAAGUGGAGUUUGCCGAAUUCAUAAUGAGGACCUCACAAUUACGCAAGCUCGUCAACAUGCAAGACAUGAACGGGAGAACUGCUCUACAUGGCGCAUUACAGAAGUGCAGUCCUAAAAUGGUUGCUGCUCUGCUGUCUCACAAAGGUAUAGACACAAUAGUCAUUGAUAAUAGGGGUACACCACCAACUUUGGAGUUGUCGGCCUUCACGGAUCAUGCCAAAACAUUAAACUGGAAUGAAGUGCGUAUGCUUAUGCUGAGAGCUGAUCCCCGAGAUGCCGCCUCUUUUUAUAAUCUUCAAAGGAAAACCAAACUAGAAGCGACCGAGGCAUCAAGGAAGGAAGCAAAAUCACUAACUCAAACAUACACAAGAAACACUUCGUUAGUGGCGAUUCUCAUUGCGACAAUCACCUUCGCCGCUGCCUUCACCCUUCCUGGAGGAUACAUCAACGGUGCUGGAAGCGAGGGACUUCCCAUCAUGUCUAGGAAGUUUGCAUUCCAGGCAUUCUUGAUUUCUGACGUCUUAGCAAUGUGCUCCUCAUUUGUUGUGGCCUUCAUAUGCAUCAUAGCAAGGUGGGAGGAUUAUGAGUUCUUGCUUUAUUACAGAUCCUUCACUAAGAAGCUCAUGUGGUUUGCAUACGUGGCAACUACUACGGCUUUUUCAACUGGUUUAUACACAGUGCUUGCUCCACGUGUCCACUGGUUGGCUAUUGCAAUUUGCGUCAUGGUAGCUUUGUUGCCGAUUCUAACUAAGCUACUCUGUGAAUGGCCUGUCUUGAAGCUCAGACAUCGGUUGGGUAAAGCUUUCAAUUCUGAUUUGCUUGACAUGGUGUAA